rnacentral:rRNA from 1 species
UACAGAGGUCUCAAGCGUUGUUCGGAUUCAUUGGGCGUAAAGGGUGCGUAGGCGGCGCCGUAAGUCAGGUGUGAAAUCUCGGAGCUUAACUCCGAAACUGCAUUCGAUACUGCCGUGCUUGAGGACUGGAGAGGAGACUGGAAUUUACGGUGUAGCGGUGAAAUGCGUAGAUAUCGUAAGGAAGACCAGUGGCGAAGGCGGGUCUCUGGACAGUUCCUGACGCUGAGGCACGAAGGUCAGGGGAGCAAACGGG